CCGUGGGUGUUUCUUGGGUGGUAUGGGAUGUGAAGUUUCCAGGUUAUGUUGAGGCUCUCAGCUACCUGUUGGGUUACACUGGAGA